GGUGUGUAUACAUGAAUGUAUAUAUCGGGGUUCUACUACAGUUGGUCUAUAUACAUGAAUGUAUAUAUCAGGGUUUUACUAAAGUUGGUCUGUAUACAUGAAUGUAUAUAUCAGAGUUCUACUAAAGUUGGUCUAUAUACAUGAAUGUAUAUAUCAGGGUUCUACUAAAGUUGGUCUGUAUACAUGAAUGUAUAUAUCAGGGUUCUACUAAAGUUGGUCUAUAUACAUGAAUGUAUAUAUCAGGGUUCUACUAAAGUUGGUC